ensembl:lncRNA
AUAAUCACUAGGUUCCCCACUGCUCUCUCCUUUUUUUCCUUUUCCUUUAUUUGUUGAAGUGACUUAAAUCAUUUUCCUGCCUAGUUUCCCAUAUUCUGGAUUUUGCUGAUUGAAUCCCUAUGGGUUUGUUCAGAAUUUGCAUGCGAAUUUCGUAUCUUUAGUUUUAGAGCACAGAGGAAUCUAGAUACUUGUAUUUUAGCAGUUUUGCCUUAUUUCUCUCCUGCUACUGCAUCGUUUAGACUGUAGGUUCCUGUUUUACGGAGUUUUUCUCCUGGUGCUAGGAUAUUGUUACACGUCUCCCGAAGGUCUCUUUGCCUUUACAAAUAGGACGGUAUUGGAGAUGAUCAGAUCUAAAGUCAUAGCAGCAUCUAGCUGGCUUUUGGAAUCUGUGCAUGGAUCUAUUUGAAGCCUAUAUGCUUUCCUGAAGGGUUCUGUGCUGCCUUGUGAUGGGAAAACUUGGGUGUUAUUUUUAGCUUUUCAAACUGCCAGGCAGCAAAUGGGAAGCCUGCAGAAUCAUUUUGGAUUAGGGUAUUUUAGAUUUGAAAUCAAGGCACCUCUGUGGCACUCUAAUUAAAAAUGGCUCAGCUCAAGUGAGUAAUUUGUUGAGCUAUGAACAGUAAUAAAUUGCAGAAAUGAUUCACCUGGAUUUUUAGGAAAGGUUAUUUGGAAAGCUUAAAAUCAAUUAUUUUGAAACAUUAAAGAUCUUUUAGGAGUGGAGCCUAAGUAACAAAGUAGGGAGUUAUUAUUAUCAGCCUGAAAUGUUUUUCCUUAAAAACUCUCCUUAAGUUAAAGUAAUUGGUCGCAGGCACUCUUUCUUUUUUCUUCUUUUCUUCUUCGUUUUUUGUUUUUUGUUUUUUGUUUUUGUUUUUGUUUUUGUCUUUUUAGGGCUGCACUCAUGGCAUAUGGAAGUUCCUGGGCUAGGGGUUGAAUCAGAGCGGCAGCUGCAGGCCUACACCUCAGCUAUAGCAACGCCACAUCCGAGCCACAUCUGCAACCAUCACCACAGCUCAUGGCAAUGCCCGAUCCUUAACUGACUAAGUGAGGUCAGGAAUCGAACCUGCAUUCUCAUGGAUGCUAGGCAGAUUUGUUUCUGCUGAACCACAUAGGGAACUCCUGAAUUUAUUUUCUUUUCUUUCUUUCUUUCUUUCUUUUUUUUUUUUUUUUUUUUUUUUGCUUUUUAGGGCUGCACCUCCUGGGAACUUCCAUCUGCCGCAUAUGCGGCCCUAAAAAGCAAAGAAAAAGAGUCUGCCUUUGUUCUGUAGCCCUUCAUUUGUGGCCCGUGAAGCAGUUCAGAGAGGAUGAAGGACUGAUAAUACGAUUCUGUGAUUCCAAGUAAGAUAUCAUUUGAAGUAAAAUAUUAUGGAGUUCCUAUUGUGGCUCAGCGGUUAAUGAACCUGAUUAGGGUCCAUGAGGAUUCGGGUUUGAUCCUUGGCCUUGCUCAGUGGGUUAAGGACCCGACGUUGCCAUGAGCUGUGGUGUAGGUUGAAGGCAAGGCUCAGAUCCUGCAUGGCUGUGGCUGUGGCGUUGGCCGGCAGCCGUAGCUCCGAUUGGACCCCUAGCUUGGGAACCUCCAU